UUUUUUUUUUUUACUUUUUUUACGUACUAAAGCCUCCACUGAAUUUAAUGUUGUGUCUGUACAACUACAUCAAUUUCACAAAUUAAAUCAGAUUAAACAGAAUUACUCAAGUACUCACUACUUAAGAAACAUUUAUACAAAAUAUAUUUUUACAUUUACUUGAGUAAAAUUUAUAACUAUUCUUCCCAACUCUGCAUUUGGUUUUGAACAGACAAUCAUGUGAUUGUAAUUUUCAGAACUAGAAAUCAGAUAUUAGAAUCUGACUAUUAAUGAACCAUCUGGAUGCUUUGUGGACAAGGGUUUUUUUUUUUUUGUGCUAUGUCUGACUUAUUACAUCUAUUACUAUGGGAAUGCCAGCAAUUUCAAAAUAGCCUUAUUAUGCAACGUGUUACCUGACCUUGUUAGUCUCUUUUACAAAGUAGUACCAGAAUAGUUAUGAAGAUUAAUGGUUAUUGUUUUAUCUCUGCAGAAAAUGUGGCACCAGAAAAGAAAGACAGAAACCAGUCCAACACCAGUCUCAGCUUCAAUCGGGAGGACAGGAAGUCCACAAUCAGCUGGAAGGUACAGGUCAGUGGAGGAGCAAAAAGCACAGAAGAGACUACAUGGAAAGACUGAAUUCUGUCUACGGUCAAGUCUGAGCUCAGACUUCUUUAAUUUACUUGAAGAAAGAGACCCGGUUUGAAGGACAUUAUUAUUGUUAUUUAACAAAGGAGGUGUUUAACAUGUCAAUAAAAGAAAGUCACAAAUCAACAACA